UGAUCCUAAACUCAACACACUCAGCCUGAAAUCUCUUUGGAGGCUUCUCUCCAAUUUAUAGAUGAAGUGCCAAAGAGAAGCAGACACGGUGAAGAAAGACAGACUAAGAAAGGAAAAUGUGCUAGGAGAGAAAGAAAACGGGAGUUGAGAUGGAAAAGAAGACAAAAGAAAAAGAAUGCAAAAACACAGCAAGGGGUUUGCGGGCGAAGCCUAAGUAAUGAGAACCAUACUAUCCACUGCACUAUAGACGCAGCCAAAACAUGGCUGGAGCUGCGCGGUCGCCAAAGUAACUGCCUUAUUCGAGGCUGCUGAAAUUUGUUUGGUGAAACUUUUCAAAAAAAAAAUGAACGUUUCUCGUUUGAAGCCUCCUGUGCUCCGAGUCUAAAUACGGCGUUCAGACUUUGCGAUGUUACUACGAAGCUUAAUGAAUUACAAACGAAUCUGCGGUCUCGAGUAAGCACUUUGAAAAGUGAGCGAAGAGUCAGAAAAGCAGCUGAUUAGCAGCCACUUCUCCUUUCAUGGUUUAUUUACAGGUUCGCUCGCUAAGAGUUAGCAAUUCUGCUCCUAGGCUGCACCUUGGGUUACAGCUAUCUUUGCCGUUUCAAAACAAGUAACUACAUUGUGCUGUUAGAUAUUUUAUUUUCCAAAUGCCAAAUGUCAAAUCGCAGCCCUGUGACUGGAAGGAACCCUUAUGCUAAUAUCCCGGCGUGUUAGCAUUCGGAUUUAUAGCGCUCCUACAUCUUGUUCCCCUAUGAACUCUGAGGGAAAACGGGAAAAAGAACAAAACAAGCGGGAGGAAUGUUUAUUAACACCUCCGCUGGCUCACUUGGCCCCGCCGGGCUGACCUGAUUAUUGCCUGUCUGUAAUUACGCUGAAACCAGAGGUGUGCUGCUCCUCAUGGGGGGCUGCUGAUUAGGGAGGCGAGGCGUUCUCGCUGUCUACCCAGGAGCCUCUCGGUAAGACAUCAAGAGGAUGUAAGAACUGCCCAUGAUGAACUUAUGAUGAACCUUGGACCCCAGUAUUGCAGUGAGAUGAGCUGGCUUGUACCAGAGGAGCAGCGUCUAGCUCUGAUCUACUAGUGUCUUGCUGGCCAUGGUCGGUUAUAAUGAAGGAAUUUCUAGGCCCAAACCAAGAAAAGCAAAGUUGUUUCUGCAAACUGAAAUAUUAGUUUUGUGUGUUUUUAUCAAAACAUCGUGUUUUGCUCCUGAAUAGGAGUAAAGAAAACAUCUGAUGUUUCAUCUUUGCCGUUUUACCCACUGGUGCAACCAGUGAAAGGGCCCCUUUCUGGAUAUGUGCAGACAUAAUCAGACUCCGUGAUCUAGCAUACAGCAUUUUUCAAGCCGUGAUAAUCAAAUGCAGAUCUUUUCAGGCUUUCUCAUAGCCUUGCCAGUCCAAAUCAGUAUAUAGUGUUGAGUUGAAGGUCUAUUAACACUUACAUAUUUCUAUAGAAAUAUAUGCCAAUUAUACUUUGGCCCAGUUUGAACAGUAAAGCUGUCAGUCACCCUUGAAUCAUAAAUGAAUGAGAGAUAAAUUAACUGACUAUAAAUAUUUCAGUCAGUCACAAUUGCAUGUUUUGAAAAUAAACGUAUAGAGACUUGGUGUA